rnacentral:rRNA from 1 species
GACGAACGCUGGCGGCGUGCCUAAUACAUGCAAGUAGAACGCACAGUUUAUACCGUAGCUUGCUACACCAUAAACUGUGAGUUGCGAACGGGUGAGUAACGCGUAGGUAACCUGCCUGGUAGCGGGGGAUAACUAUUGGAAACGAUAGCUAAUACCGCAUAAUAUUAAUUAUUGCAUGAUAAUUGAUUGAAAGAUGCAAUUGCAUCACUACCAGAUGGACCUGCGUUGUAUUAGCUAGUGGGUGAGGUAACGGCUCACCUAGGCGACGAUACAUAGCCGACCUGAGAGGGUGAUCGGCCACACUGGGACUGAGACACGGCCCAGACUCCUACGGGAGGCAGCAGUAGGGAAUCUUCGGCAAUGGACGAAAGUCUGACCGAGCAACGCCGCGUGAGUGAAGAAGGUUUUCGGAUCGUAAAGCUCUGUUGUAAGAGAAGAACGGGUGUGAGAGUGGAAAGUUCACACUGUGACGGUAUCUUACCAGAAAGGGGCGGCUAACUACGUG